ACACAGCGGAGAGCUCGGGACCUGCUGUAACCCAGGAAAGGGCUUUACCUUGACAUGACAGACGAGGGCAACAGCUUCAGGAAGGUCAACUCAGCAGGCAGCAUUCAAGCCUGAAAACCAACGUCAGGAACUUUAAGGCACAGCAGAAGUCACACGAUGGAAAUGAACUCUCCGGAUGCCGGAGGACUGUGUGCGGAAGCCUAAACCCCCCCCCCAACUCCACCCGCAGGCCUCCCAGCGACGUGCUCGCGUGAUAACAGCCGCCGGGGCUGUUACAGAUCUCGUCUGCGCACGCCGGGCCACCUCCAAGGCUGCCGGUCAGGCUGGACACGCUGACACACCUUGCCAAGGACAAUCAGUACUUUACCCAGAGUUUGUUCAGGAGCCGGAAGCCAAGAAGGCAAACCUAGCUUUCCCAGAGUUUUUGAGCGAUGGGUGUCAGGGAAUCAGAAAUGGCAUGCUUCCAAAUCCAGCUACACGGCUUGACAGAAUCAUGGCCACGUGAACUGCGGAAGCGUAAGGACUCGUAAGGAACACAGAGCCUGGUGUCGCGGACAUGAGGGGGCGGCCUGCAAGCCGGAGAUAAGCUGUUUAUUUGGACUUCAUGAAGUGCCGCAGAGCCACAGAUACUGCUGCCGUCCUCCUGACAGCCUCCGGACGAGCGACGGCAGCCUGACUGUCUUAGAUCGUAAAGAAAAUAAACCCUGGGAGGAAUCUGGCCAUCAUCUCCGUAACGAUGAAUUGUCUGCAUGACUUUGAAAGGCUUCAAAUGGCUGUAAUUUAAAUUCUUUUUAACGAUCUCAUUCAAAGUCCCAUUUCUCAUUGACUAUGGCUGAUGUUUGUAAAUAGUUAAACAUGUACAAAUAAGAUAAGCAUUGUUUUAUUUAGUAUCCUGAAACACUCGAAUGGCUAUUAAAAUAAA